rnacentral:piRNA from 1 species
UAUGGUUUUUUGAACAUUGCA